GACGAACGCUGGCGGCGUGCUUAACACAUGCAAGUCGAACGGAAAGGCCCUGCUUUUGUGGGGUGCUCGAGUGGCGAACGGGUGAGUAACACGUGAGUAACCUGCCCUUGACUUUGGGAUAACUUCAGGAAACUGGGGCUAAUACCGGAUAGGAGCUCCUGCUGCAUGGUGGGGGUUGGAAAGUUUCGGCGGUUGGGGAUGGACUCGCGGCUUAUCAGCUUGUUGGUGGGGUAGUGGCUUACCAAGGCUUUGACGGGUAGCCGGCCUGAGAGGGUGACCGGGGACAUUGGGACUAAGAUACGGACCAGACUCCUACGGGAGGCAGCAGUGGGGAAUCUUGCACAAUGGGCGGAAGCCUGAUGCAGCAACGCCGCGUGCGGGAUGACGGCCUUCGGGUUGUAAACCGCUUUCGCCUGUGACGAAGAGUGCGUGACGGUAAUGGGUAAAGAAGCCCCGGCUAACUACGUG
rnacentral:rRNA from 1 species